rnacentral:lncRNA from 1 species
CACAGUUUCAUCGACCAGGUCAGCACAUCUGCAUGGAAAGCACAGCUUCUAAGCCACCAUCUAUGGAAACCGGGAGAGGCUUUUGAGAGGUUUCACAGUGCCCUGAAGCUGACAUCCGGCUGCAUCUCUUUGGUUCCGCUGUUACAGCCCCAGACAGCCUAAAAACAUGUGCAGUAGGUAUCUUCUAUCCUCUUUAUCUGUUUGCCUCUCAUCCCCUGCUCCCUUUACUAUGUCAAAAGAGACUCGAUAGCCCAGCGAUCAUUUCUAAUUUCCACCCUUCAGAUCAUCUGCUUUGAGACAGCAAUUAUUGGAGAUAUAAGAACCUGGGUAUAGAAUUGCAAAAUGUAAUUGGCAAAGAAGGAUGCGAUAUUCCCAAUGACAGGAAAAGACAGUAAACAUAAACAUAAUUCUUCUAUGAAGCAGCGUAGCGCAGCGGGACGUUAUUACCAGGCAUGGCCCAGCUGGGGAAAUGCCCUCUGGUGGUCACACUGCCACCAGCGCAAUCACUUCUCAUUAAUGCCGGGCUGCUCUUAACUACUUAACUGCUGUUAUUUGAGUGCCGUUAGCCAAAGCGUUCCAGUGUUGCAAGUCUGGUUUUAAAGGAUGUAUCAGAGACCUAAAGGGGAAGUUUGCCGUCCAACACUAUGUUACGAGAGGAGAAAUGUGAGCUAAGAAAUGUUAGUAAUUAAUUUAUUUCAUUAGCAGAAGAAAAAAAAAAAGUUGUUUGAUUUUGGUUUGAUUGCGCAAAUAUUUUCAAAUCAUUUUACUUCUUCUCUAAUAAUAAUAAUAAUAAAAAAACAACAGGAUUCAUACUGAAAAUGGAAAGGUACACUUGUUUUCUAGUUACAGUGCUCUGAUUUUAUCAGGCAUAUGCAAUUAUGUUUUGGGGGGAGUUGAGUGUAUAGAGCACUGAUUUUACGGUCUGAAUCUAAAUUUAUCUGUAUAAAAUGAACCACUAAAUCUAAAUUUAUCUGUAUAAAAUGAAGCAGCCUCCAACAUUUACAUGCAAUUUGAUCUCGGCAUCGCAUCCCUGAGUCACUGCAAUUUCUGUCAGCGCCGAGGCCCCUGGCUGCUCUUGCUGCAAGCACGCUGGCUGACGCAAAAGGCAGCAUUACACCUCCUGAUACUGGUUAGAAUAUAUUUGAAUCCCGUAAGUACAUCAUAACACCGUUUUCAAUUUCUAUAUUUACAGUUAUCAACAAAAACACUGUUUGCACGUGUGUGAUGUGUACAGAAUGCUUAAGGGAAGAAAGAUUCAGUCGGUGUAAAAGCCACCACAGCACAAUGCCAUUUUUUUCAGUGUGCUUUUUCCCAGCUGGGUUUGCACUUCCAGACACGUGUUCUGGUUCAUUGUGUUACCCCACGUCCGGUCUCCAUGUAAGCUUAUAUCUAAUCACUCAAAAUUACUGCAGAUUGGAAAUUUCCUAGCCACAGCAGAGGGCAACGCCUAGCUGUCUGGAUGCACUAGGGCUACCACAAUAAAUGCCUCACUGAGGCCUUUUCUGUUUUC